rnacentral:rRNA from 1 species
AUUGAACGCUGGCGGCAGGCCUAACACAUGCAAGUCGAGCGGAUGAAGGGAGCUUCCUCCUGGAUUCAGCGGCGGACGGGUGAGUAAUGCCUAGGAAUCUGCCUGGUAGUGGGGGAUAACGUCCGGAAACGGGCGCUAAUACCGCAUACGUCCUGAGGGAGAAAGUGGGGGAUCUUCGGACCUCACGCUAUCAGAUGAGCCUAGGUCGGAUUAGCUAGUUGGUGGGGUAAAGGCCUACCAAGGCGACGAUCCGUAACUGGUCUGAGAGGAUGAUCAGUCACACUGGAACUGAGACACGGUCCAGACUCCUACGGGAGGCAGCAGUGGGGAAUAUUGGACAAUGGGCGAAAGCCUGAUCCAGCCAUGCCGCGUGUGUGAAGAAGGUCUUCGGAUUGUAAAGCACUUUAAGUUGGGAGGAAGGGCAGUAAGUUAAUACCUUGCUGUUUUGACGUUACCAACAGAAUAAGCACCGGCUAUCUUCGUG